rnacentral:misc_RNA from 1 species
GAUGAAGAACGUAGCGAAAUGCGAUAAGUAAUGUGAAUUGCAGAAUUCAGUGAAUCAUCGAAUCUUUGAACGCAUCUUGCGCUCCUUGGUAUUCUGAGGAGCAUGCCUGUUUGAGUGUCAUUAAAUUCUCAACUACACUGACUUUGAAUUGGUGUGGCUUGGAUUUGGGGGGAAAAUUGUUGUGGGCUUUUUGUAUAGUCUGCUCCCCUGAAAUUGAUUAGCGGUACCUUUGUGGAACUGUCUACAGGUGUGAUAAUUAUCUACAUCUUAGACAUCUGCUGGAAUGCUGCUUUCUAAACCUUACUUGUAUUGACAAUCUUGAACUCAAAUCAGGUAGGACUACCCGCUGAACUUAAGCAUAUCAAUAAGCGGAGGA